rnacentral:hammerhead_ribozyme from 1 species
GCAUUGCUGAAGAGUCCCAAACAGGAUGAAACCGCUGUCUAACAC